GUGGGGAAUAUUGGGCAAUGGGCGGAAGCCUGACCCAGCGACGCCGCGUGGGGGAAGAAGUCUUUCGGGAUGUAAACCCUUGUUGUACGGGACGAAGGAAGUGACGGUACCGUACGAGGAAGCCCCGGCAAACUACGUGCCAGCAGCCGCGGUAAUACGUAGGGGGCGAGCGUUGUCCGGAAUCACUGGGCGUAAAGCGCACGUAGGCGGGCUGUCAAGUCGGCCGUGAAAGGCACGGGCUCAACCUGUGCAUGUCGGUCGAUACUGGCGGUCUGGAGUAUGGGAGAGGGAACUGGAAUUCCCGGUGUAGCGGUGAAAUGCGUAGAUAUUGGGAAGAACACCGGUGGCGAAGGCGACUUGCUGGCCAGCAACUGACGCUGAGGCGCGAAAGCCAGGGGAGCAAACGGGAUUAGAUACCCGUGUAGUCC
rnacentral:rRNA from 1 species